rnacentral:rRNA from 1 species
GGCCUCGAAGGGGGUACUUGCAAUGCAGUCGAACGGUGAACACGGAGCUUGCUCUGUGGGAUCAGUGGCGAACGGGUGAGUAACACGUGAGCAACCUGCCCCUGACUCUGGGAUAAGCGCUGGAAACGGCGUCUAAUACUGGAUAUGUGACGUGACCGCAUGGUCUGCGUCUGGAAAGAAUUUCGGUUGGGGAUGGGCUCGCGGCCUAUCAGCUUGUUGGUGAGGUAAUGGCUCACCAAGGCGUCGACGGGUAGCCGGCCUGAGAGGGUGACCGGCCACACUGGGACUGAGACACGGCCCAGACUCCUACGGGAGGCAGCAGUGGGGAAUAUUGCACAAUGGGCGCAAGCCUGAUGCAGCAACGCCGCGUGAGGGACGACGGCCUUCGGGUUGUAAACCUCUUUUAGCAGGGAAGAAGCGAAAGUGACGGUACCUGCAGAAAAAGCGCCGGCUAACUACGUGCCAGCAGCCACGGUAAUACGUAGGGCGCAAGCGUUAUCCGGAAUUAUUGGGCGUAAAGAGCUCGUAGGCGGUUUGUCGCGUCUGCUGUGAAAUCCGGAGGCUCAACCUCCGGCCUGCAGUGGGUACGGGCAGACUAGAGUGCGGUAGGGGAGAUUGGAAUUCCUGGUGUAGCGGUGGAAUGCGCACAUAUCAGGAGGAACACCCGAUGGCGAAAGCAGAUCUCUGGGCCGUAAUGACACUGAAGGAGCGAAAGGGUGU